rnacentral:rRNA from 1 species
GAUGAACGCUGACAGAAUGCUUAACACAUGCAAGUCUUUGGCGAAUCUGUGCUUGCACAGGCUAGCCAAGGCGGACGGGUGAGUAACGCGUCAAGAACUUGCCCUGCAGACAGGGAUAACAGACGGAAACGACUGAUAACACCUGAUACAGUUGCCGGCACGCAUGUGCCUGGCAAUGAAAAGAGAUGCUGCAGGAGAGCUUUGCGUCCUAUUAGCUUGUUGGUGAGGUGACGGCUCACCAAGGCGAUGAUAGGUAGCCGGCCUGAGAGGGUGAACGGCCACAAGGGGACUGAGAUACGGCACUUACUCCUACGGGAGGCAGCAGUGGGGAAUAUUGGACAAGGGGGGCAACCCUGAUCCAGCAAUUCUGUGUGCACGAAGAAGGUUUUCGGAUUGUAAAGUGCUUUCAGCAGGGAAGAAGAAAGUGACGGUACCUGCAGAAGAAGCGACGGCUAAAUACGUG